rnacentral:rRNA from 1 species
GACGAACGCUGGCGGCGUGCCUAAUACAUGCAAGUAGAACGCUGAAGGAGGAGCUUGCUUCUCUGGAUGAGUUGCGAACGGGUGAGUAACGCGUAGGUAACCUGCCUGGUAGCGGGGGAUAACUAUUGGAAACGAUAGCUAAUACCGCAUAAGAGUAGAUGUCGCAUGACAUUUGCUUAAAAGUUGCAAUUGCAUCACUACCAGAUGGACCUGCGUUGUAUUAGCUAGUUGGUGAGGUAACGGCUCACCAAGGCAACGAUACAUAGCCGACCUGAGAGGGUGAUCAGCCACCCUGGGACGGUGACACGGCACAGAGGCCUACGGGAGGCAGCAGUAGGGAAUCGUCGGCAAUGGACGGAAGACUGACCGAGCAACGCCGCGUGAGGAAAGAAGGUUUUCGGGUCGUAAAGCACUGUUGUAAGAGAAGAACGAGUGUGAGAGUGGAAAGUUCACACUGUGACGGUAUCUUACCAGAAAGGGACGGCUAACUACGUG